UACGUAGGGGGCUAACGUUGUCCGGGUUUACUGGGUGUAAAGGGUGCUCAGGCGGUUGUGUAAGUCAGAAGUGAAAUCCUAGGGCUUAACUCUAGAACUGCUUUUGAUACUGCGCAGCUUGAAUGUGGAAGAGGAGGAUGGAAUUUCUGGUGUAGCAGUGAAAUGCGUAGAUAUCAGAAAGAACACCAUUGGCGAAGGCGGUCCUCCGGUCCAUUAUUGACGCUAAAGCACGAAAGCGUGGGGAGCAAACAGG
rnacentral:rRNA from 1 species